rnacentral:rRNA from 1 species
CCUACGGGAGGCAGCAGUAGGGAAUCUUUCACAAUGGGCGAAAGCCUGAUGGAGCAACGCCGCGUGCAGGAUGAAGGCCUUCGGGUUGUAAACUGCUUUUAUAAGCGAGAAAUAUGAUGGUAACUUAUGAAUAAGGAUCGGCUAACUACGUGCCAACAGCCGCGGUCAUACGUAGGAUCCGAGCAUUAUCCGGAGUGACUGGGUGUAAAGAGUUGCGUAGGUGGCAUAAUAAGUAGCUAGUGAAAUCUGGUGGCUCAACCAUUCAGACUAUUAGCUAAACUGUUAAGCUCGAGACCGUUAGGGGUAACUGGAAUUUCUAGUGUAGGAGUGAAAUCCGUAGAUAUUAGAAGGAACACCAAUAGCGUAGGCAGGUUGCUGGGACGGUUCUGACACUAAGGCACGAAAGCGUAGGGAGCAAACGGGAUUAGAUACCCGAGUAGUC